CCUACUGGUUCCGGAACGCUUCAGGGCGUGACGUGUGUGUCCCCAACAAGCCUGAGAAGGGAGUGAACAGCUGUCCAGGGGCCAACGGCCAGGGUGCUGGGGCUGGGACCCCAAAGGGACUUCCCUUCAUGCCUUUUGACUUCGAAAUUGUCCUCUACACACAGGCCCCAAACAGGAAACGGUUAACGACUUCUGGAGAAUGGUCUGGGAGCAAAAGUCUGCGACCAUCGUCAUGUUAACAAACUUGAAAGAAAGGAAAGAGGAAAAGUGCCAUCAGUACUGGCCCGACCAAGGCUGCUGGACCUAUGGAAACAUCCGGGUGUGCGUGGAGGACUGCGUGGUUUUGGUCGACUACACCAUCCGGAAGUUCUGCAUACAGCCACAGCUCCCCGACGGCUGCAAAGCCCCCAGGCUGGUCUCACAGCUGCACUUCACCAGCUGGCCCGACUUCGGAGUGCCUUUUACCCCCAUUGGGAUGCUGAAGUUCCUCAAGAAAGUAAAGACGCUCAACCCCGUGCACGCUGGGCCCAUCGUGGUCCACUGUAGCGCGGGCGUGGGCCGGACGGGCACCUUCAUUGUGAUCGAUGCCAUGAUGGCCAUGAUGCACGCGGAGCAGAAGGUGGAUGUGUUUGAAUUUGUGUCUCGAAUCCGUAAUCAGCGCCCUCAGAUGGUUCAAACGGAUAUGCAGUACACGUUCAUCUACCAAGCCUUACUCGAGUACUACCUCUACGGGGACACAGAGCUGGAUGUGUCCUCCCUGGAGAAGCACCUGCAGACCAUGCACGGCACCACCACCCACUUCGACAAGAUCGGGCUGGAGGAGGAGUUCAGGAAAUUGACAAAUGUCCGGAUCAUGAAGGAGAACA
rnacentral:sRNA from 1 species